GAGAAUUAGCUCAGCUGGUAGAGCAUCUGACUUUUAAUCAGAGGGUCAGAGGUUCGAAUCCUCUAUGGCUCA
rnacentral:tRNA from 2 species